rnacentral:tRNA from 1 species
GGGAAUGUGGCUUAGUGGUAGAGUGUUUGCCUAGCACGCAUCAAGCCCUGGGUUCGAUUCCUCAUUACCA